UACGGGGGGGGCAAGCGUUGUUCGGAAUUACUGGGCGUAAAGGGCUCGUAGGUGGCCAACUAAGUCAGACGUGAAAUCCCCAGGCUCAACUUGGGAACUGCGUCUGAUACUGGAUGGCUUGAAUUCGGGAGAGGGAUGCAGAAUUCCAGGUGUAGCGGUGAAAUGCGUAGAUAUCUGGAGGAAUACCGGUGGCGAAGGCGGCAUCCUGGACCAACACUGACGCUGAGUGAGCGAAAGCCAGGGGAGCAAACGGG
rnacentral:rRNA from 1 species